UGGGCAGGUAACACAGAAGAGAAAACAGAGAAAACAGAGAGUGGUGAGGAGACGAUUCAUAUGGAAGCCCGUUUCCGCCACAUAAAAAAAGAAAAAUGUAUUUUUUCUCACAAUUCUGACUUUAUUUCACGCAAUACAGAUUUUUUUUUAGCCAGUCUGGCAGGGUCACCCCCUCUGUAGUGCCAGAAAAAUUUACACAUUGAAAAUGAAAUGGGCCACAAUCAAUAGCUUCGCAUGGUAUCAGACUAAGCCUCUGAUCCCUGGAAAAAACUGGAGUUGGAAUAAGAAAGAUGAAGCAGUGGAGGCCUCGUUCAUACACCAACAGCUUCAAACUUCAGGCCAACAACAUGGUUACCGGAAGAGGGACAAUCCACAAGCACAACCCUCUGUACUGUUUUGGUCUCCGCUACAGUGUCGCAGUGUUUGCUGUUUUUGUCUUAUGCUGUUUUUGUUUGUUUAUUUUGCACUAAAUGUUGUACAUGUGCAGUUUGUGUUAAUAGUUUACAGUUUUGUGUAGUUCCUUUUGUUAAAGUCUGACAGAGCACUUUGGUCCUGAUGAAACGUUGUUUUGUUUCACUGUGUACUGCACUGUAUAUAGUUUGAAUGACGAUAAAAUCUACUUGACUUAACUUCAGUAAUUAAAGAAGGUUCAACCAAAAA